GGGAGGGGUUUUGGGGACACCUGGCGUUGCUCACCUGGAAUUUGGGAGUUCCCAAAAGAAAUUUGGGGGUUUUAGGGGUGUCCUGAUCCCAACCUGAGGAGUUUUGGGAGGGGACGGUACUGGGAGCACUGGGAGGGACUGGGAGGGGAGUUUUUGGGGCACACCUGGCGUUGCUCACCUGGAAUCCCCGGCCAGGUGAGGCACCUGGAGGUGUCGAGCGCCUCCAUGGCCGAGGAUCUGUGCAGGAAAAGCGCCAUCAUCCAGAGCUUCGUGCGGGACAGCCGCACAGGACCUGGAGUCGCUGUCCCAGGAGCUGGCGCAGCUCAGGAAGGAACAAGCGGCCCCCCCGGGACCCCCCUGAGGGGCGGGGCCUCUCUUGUGGGCGGGGCCUCGCCCCCCGCAAGCUCCGCCCCCCGGCCAGGACGCUGCUGCGGGGGAGGCGUUGCCCCUUUAAGGACGCGGUGGGCCUCGCUGGCAUUGCCCCUUUAAGGCAGAGCGGUUCCUCACGUGGCGUUGCCGCUUUAAGGGCGGCCCCUGGAGGGCGUUGCCGCUUUAAGACUGGGGGCGGUCCCCGCCGCGGUGUCUCCCUUUUAAGGAUGACGUGGUCCCCACUCUGGCGUUGCCCGUUUAAGGGGGUCCCGCAUGCGCCCCCCCCCCAAAUAAACCCGAUGUGAAUCGCUGCCUGUGAUGUCAUUUUCUUGCGUUGGGAUGGGUGGGAAGAACCGGUGACGUCAGCA
rnacentral:lncRNA from 12 species